GCCGGGCGUGGUGGCGCGCGCCUAUAAUCCCAGCUACUCAGGAGGCUGAGGCAGGAGAAUCGCUUGAACCCAGGAGGCGGAGGUUACAGUGAGCCGAGAUCACGCACUCCAGCCUGGGUGACAGAGCGAGACUCCGUCUCAA
ensembl:misc_RNA Metazoa_SRP Metazoan signal recognition particle RNA